rnacentral:rRNA from 1 species
UACGUAGGUCCGGGCGUUAUCCGGAUUUAUUGGGUUUAAAGGGAGCGCAGGCGGAAGAUUAAGCGUGACGUGAAAUGUCCCGGCUCAACCGUGGAACUGCGUCGCGAACUGGUUUUCUUGAGUGAGUACGACGUCGGCGGAAUUCGUGGUGUAGCGGUGAAAUGCUUAGAUAUCACGAAGAACCCCGAUUGCGAAGGCAGCCGACGAGUCCUUAACUGACGCUAAAGCUCGAAAGUGCGGGUAUCGAACA